rnacentral:lncRNA from 1 species
AAUAUAUCACUUGCUAACUACCCGCCCUGAUCAAUCCAUAUUUUACCUAAUAUUUUAGUCGCAUUAAUAGUCACGUAUAUGAUUUGUUGCAAGAAAAAUAGAACUGACAAGAUCUUUGGCUACUGUAUUUUUGGCUUGGCAUUUGGGGGGAGGGGAAGCGAAUAUGGAGAGCAGAUGAAUAAAUUCUGAAUAUAAUAAGCUGUGAGAGAGAUAACUAAUGUAAAAAUGACAAAAUUUAAAAUUAAUACUUAUAUCACUUGCUAACUACCCGCCCUGAUCAAUCCAUAUUUUACCUAAUAUUUUAGUCGCAUU